AGUGAACGCUGGCGGUAGGCCUAACACAUGUAAGUCGAACGGCAGCACAGUAAGAGCUUGCUCUUACGGGUGGCGAGUGGCGGACGGGUGAGGAAUACAUCGGAAUCUACUUUUUCGUGGGGGAUAACGUAGGGAAACUUACGCUAAUACCGCAUACGACCUACGGGUGAAAGCAGGGGAUCUUCGGACCUUGCGCGAUUGAAUGAGCCGAUGUCGGAUUAGCUAGUUGGCGGGGUAAAGGCCCACCAAGGCGACGAUCCGUAGCUGGUCUGAGAGGAUGAUCAGCCACACUGGAACUGAGACACGGUCCAGACUCCUACGGGAGGCAGCAGUGGCGAAUAUUGGACAAUGGGCGCAAGCCUGAUCCAGCCAUACCGCGUGGGUGAAGAAGGCCUUCGGGUUGUAAAGCCCUUUUGUUGGGAAAGAAAAGCAGCAGGUUAAUACCCCGCUGUUCUGACGGUACCCAAAGAAUAAGCACCGGCUAACUUCGUG
rnacentral:rRNA from 1 species